GCGUUGUUCGGAAUUACUGGGCGUAAAGGGUUCGUAGGUGGCUUGUUAAGUCAGACGUGAAAUCCCUCGGCUCAACCGGGGAACUGCGUCUGAGACUGAUGAGCUCGAGUGCAGGAGAGGAACGCGGAAUUCCAGGUGUAGCGGUGAAAUGCGUAGAUAUCUGGAGGAACACCGGUGGCGAAGGCGGCGUUCUGGACUGCAACUGACACUGAGGAACGAAAGCCAGGGGAGCAAACGGG
rnacentral:rRNA from 1 species